GUGGGGAAUCUUGCGCAAUGGGGGAAACCCUGACGCAGCGACGCCGCGUGGAGGAUGAAGGUCUUCGGGUUGUAAACUCCUUUUGCAGGGGAAAAUGGUGAUGGUACCCUGCGAAUAAGCCACGGCUAACUCUGUGCCAGCAGCCGCGGUAAGACAGAGGUGGCGAGCGUUGUUCGGAAUUACUGGGCUUAAAGGGCGAGUAGGCGUCCCGACAAGUCAGAUGUGGAAUCUUUCCGCUUAACGGGAAAAUUGCAUUUGAAACUGUCGGGAUUGAGUCAGUGAGGGGAGGGCGGAAUUCCUGGUGUAGCGGUGAAAUGCGUAGAUAUCAGGAGGAAGGCCUGUGGCGAAGGCGGCCCUCUGGUACUGUACUGACGCUGAGGCGCGAAAGCGUGGGUAGCAAACAGGAUUAGAAACCCUUGUAGUCC
rnacentral:rRNA from 1 species